rnacentral:rRNA from 1 species
AUUGAACGCUGGCGGCAUGCCUUACACAUGCAAGUCGAACGGCAGCACGGGGGGUAACCCCUGGUGGCGAGUGGCGAACGGGUGAGUAAUAUAUCGGAACGUGUCCUGUAGCGGGGGAUAACCUAUCGAAAGAUGGACUAAUACCGCAUACGACCUACGGGUGAAAGCGGAGGACCGCAAGGCUUCGCACUAUAGGAGCGGCCGAUAUCGGAUUAGCUAGUUGGCGGGGUAACGGCCCACCAAGGCGACGAUCCGUAGCUGGUCUGAGAGGACGAUCAGCCACACUGGAACUGAGACACGGUCCAGACUCCUACGGGAGGCAGCAGUGGGGAAUUUUGGACAAUGGGCGCAAGCCUGAUCCAGCCAUGCCGCGUGAGUGAAGAAGGCCUUCGGGUUGUAAAGCUCUUUCGGCGGGGACGAAACGGUUCGUGCUAAGACCACGGACUACUGACGGUACCCGCAGAAGAAGCACCGGCUAACUACGU